rnacentral:lncRNA from 1 species
AUUAGCUCAUGGGUUAAAUUUAAAUUUGUUAGUUAGUUAGUGAAAAUUAUGUUGAUAGUGAUUUGUUCUGUUAGUUGAUGCAUUUCCGUUAUAAAUUGUUAUAUUAUGAAGUUAAUAGGAUUCUUGUUAGUUAAUUCGAGUUGCAAGUUAUGCAGUUGGUUAGUAUUGGAAAAUGUUGGUUAUAAAUUGAUAGCCUGUUAAAAGAAAAAAGGUCAGUUAGGUUGGUUACGAACUGUUAAUGUUAGAUUGAUUGCUAAUUGAAUUUCCUGUUAGAAAUUG